rnacentral:rRNA from 1 species
CGGACGGGUGAGUAAUGCCUAGGAAUCUGCCUGGUAGUGGGGGACAACGUUUCGAAAGUAACGCUAAUACCGCAUACGUCCUACGGGAGAAAGCAGGGACCUUCGGGCCUUGUGCUAUCAGAUGAGCCUAGGUCGGAUUAGCUAGUUGGUGAGGUAAUGGCUCACCAAGGCGACGAUCCGUAACUGGUCUGAGAGGAUGAUCAGUCACACUGGAACUGAGACACGGUCCAGACUCCUACGGGAGGCAGCAGCG